rnacentral:rRNA from 1 species
GACGAACGCUGGCGGCGUGCUUAACACAUGCAAGUGGAGCGACGAACCAGGGCUUGCCCUGGGGGCAGAGCCGCGAACGGGUGAGUAACACGUGGGUAACGUGCCCCGAUGAUCGGGACAACCCGGGGAAACCCGGGCUAAUACCGAAUGUGCUCCCCUCACACCAGUGAGGGAUGGAAAGGAAGCUUCGGCCUCCGCAUCGGGAUCGGCCCGCGGCCCAUUAGCUUGUUGGUGAGGUAACGGCUCACCAAGGCUGCGAUGGGUAGCUGGUCUGAGAGGACGAUCAGCCACACUGGGACUGAGACACGGCCCAGACUCCUACGGGAGGGCAGCAGUGGGGAAUCUUGCGCAAUGCGCGAAAGCGUGACGCAGCAACGCCGCGUGGGGGAAGACGGCCU